rnacentral:rRNA from 1 species
UACGUAUGUGGCAAGCGUUGUCCGGAAUCAUUGGGCGUAAAGAGCGUGUAGGCGGCCCGAUAAGUCCGCUGUGAAAGUCCAGGGCUCAACCCUGGAAUGCCGGUGGAUACUGUCGGGCUCGAAUCCGGAAGAGGUGAGUGGAAUUCCUGGUGUAGCGGUGAAAUGCGCAGAUAUCAGGAGGAACACCAAUGGCGAAGGCAGCUCACUGGGACGGUAUUGACGCUGAGACGCGGAAGCGUGGGGAGCAAACAGG